GGCCAUGGCUCAGUGGUAGAGCAUCUGCUUUGCAUGCAGGAGGCCACAGGUUCAAUUCCUGGCACCUCUGGGUUG